rnacentral:rRNA from 1 species
CCUACGGGAGGCUGCAGUGGGGAAUUUUGGACAAUGGGCGCAAGCCUGAUCCAGCUAUUCCGCGUGUGGGAAGACGGCCUUCGGGUUGUAAACCACUUUUGUAGAGAACGAAAAGUCUGUUGAUAAUACCGAUAGAUGAUGACGGUACUCUAAGAAUAAGCACCGGCUAACUACGUGCCAGCAGCCGCGGUAAUACGGAGGGUGCGAGCGUUAAUCGGAAUUACUGGGCGUAAAGGGUGUGCAGGCGGUGUUGCAAGAUGGAUGUGAAAGCCCCGGGCUUAACCUGGGAAAGCCAUACAUGACUGGAAGACUAGAGUGCGUCAGAGGGGGGUGGAAUUCCAAGUGUAGCAGUGAAAUGCGUAGAUAUUUGGAAGAACACCGAUGGCGAAGGCAGCCCCCUGGGACGCAACUGACGCUCAUACACGAAAGCGUGGGGAGCAAACAGGAUUAGAUACCCCAGUAGUC